rnacentral:rRNA from 1 species
GACGAACGCUGGCGGCGUGCUUAACACAUGCAAGUCGAACGGAAAGGCCCUGCUUGCAGGGUACUCGAGUGGCGAACGGGUGAGUAACACGUGGGUGAUCUGCCCUGCACUUCGGGAUAAGCCUGGGAAACUGGGUCUAAUACCGGAUAGGAGCCAUUUUUAGUGUGAUGGUUGGAAAGUUUUUUCGGUGUAGGAUGAGCUCGCGGCCUAUCAGCUUGUUGGUGGGGUAAUGGCCUACCAAGGCGGCGACGGGUAGCCGGCCUGAGAGGGUGGACGGCCACAUUGGGACUGAGAUACGGCCCAGACUCCUCCGGGAGGCAGCAGUGGGGAAUAUUGCACAAUGGGCGCAAGCCUGAUGCAGCGACGCCGCGUGGGGGAUGACGGCCUUCGGGUUGUAAACUCCUUUCGCUAGGGACGAAGCUUUUUGUGACGGUACCUAGAUAAGAAGCACCGGCUAACUACGU